UACGAAGGGUAGAAGCGUUGUUCGGAAUUACUGGGCGUAAAGCGCGCGUAGGCGGACGCGUACGUCGAUUGUGAAAGCCCUGGGCUUAACCUGGGAACUGCAGUCGAAACUGCUCAUCUUGAGUGCCUGAGAGGAUGGCGGAAUUCCCGGUGUAGUAGUGAAAUACGUAGAUAUCGGGAAGAACACCUGAGGCGAAGGCGGCUAUCUGGGACGGUACUGACGCUGAGACGCGAAAGCGUGGGGAGCGAACAGG
rnacentral:rRNA from 1 species